rnacentral:rRNA from 1 species
CGUUUUCAAGCAUGCAAGUCGAACGGUAUUACGUUUUUAUUUUAUUAAGAAGUAAGAGAGUGGCGAACGGGUGAGUAACACGUAGGUAAUCUGCCUUUCAGUCUGGGAUAGCCAGUGGAAACAUUGGGUAAUACCGGAUACUUCUUAUGCAGGAAUGUAUAAGAGAAAGGUACUUUUGUGCUGCUGAUAGAGGAGCCUGCGCUUGAUUAGCUUGUUGGUGGGGUAAUGGCCUACCAAGGCGACGAUCAAUAGCCGGCCUGAGAGGGUGUACGGCCACACUGGGACUGAGACACGGCCCAGACUCCUACGGGAGGCAGCAGCUAAGAAUCUUCCGCAAUGGGCGAAAGCCUGACGGAGCGACACCGCGUGGAUGAAGAAGGCCGUGAGGUUGUAAAAUCCUUUUAUUGUUGAGGAAUAAUUAUUAUGCUUAAGUGUAAUAUGAUGACGGUAGGCAAUGAAUAAGCCCCGGCUAAUUACGUG